rnacentral:rRNA from 1 species
GAUGAACGCUGGCGGCGUGCCUAAUACAUGCAAGUCGAGCGAACAGAUGAGGAGCUUGCUCCUCUGGCGUUAGCGGCGGACGGGUGAGUAACACGUGGAUAACCUACCUAUAAGACUGGGAUAACUUCGGGAAACCGGAGCUAAUACCGGAUAAUAUACUGAACCGCAUGGUUCAAUAGUGAAAGACGGUUUUGCUGUCACUUAUAGAUGGAUCCGCGCCGCAUUAGCUAGUUGGUAAGGUAACGGCUUACCAAGGCAACGAUGCGUAGCCGACCUGAGAGGGUGAUCGGCCACACUGGAACUGAGACACGGUCCAGACUCCUACGGGAGGCAGCAGUAGGGAAUCUUCCGCAAUGGGCGAAAGCCUGACGGAGCAACGCCGCGUGAGUGAUGAAGGUCUUCGGAUCGUAAAACUCUGUUAUUAGGGAAGAACAAAUGUGUAAGUAACUAUGCACGUCUUGACGGUACCUAAUCAGAAAGCCACGGCUAACUACGUG